rnacentral:rRNA from 1 species
CUACGGGAGGCAGCAGUGGGGAAUAUUGGGCAAUGGGCGCAAGCCUGACCCAGCAAUGCCGCGUGGGUGAAGAAGGUCUUCGGAUUGUAAAGCCCUUUCGGCGGGGACGAUGGUGACGGUACCCGCAGAAGAAGCCCCGGCUAACUUCGUGCCAGCAGCCGCGGUAAUACGAAGGGGGCUAGCGUUGCUCGGAAUUACUGGGCGUAAAGGGCGCGUAGGCGGCUGUAUCAGUCAGGCGUGAAAUUCCUGGGCUCAACCUGGGGGCUGCGCUUGAUACGGUAUGGCUGGAGGACGGAAGAGGCUCGCGGAAUUCCCAGUGUAGAGGUGAAAUUCGUAGAUAUUGGGAAGAACACCGGUGGCGAAGGCGGCGAGCUGGUCCGUAUCUGACGCUGAGGCGCGACAGCGUGGGGAGCAAACAGGAUUAGAUACCCUUGUAGUCC